GCCUAAAGCGUCCGUAGCCGGCUCUGUAAGUUUUCGGUUAAAUCUGUACGCUCAACGUACAGGCUGCUGGGAAUACUGCAGAGCUAGGGAGUGGGAGAGGUAGACGGUACUCGGGAGGAAGUGGUAAAAUGCUUUGAUCUCUCGAUGACCACCUGUGGCGAAGGCGGUCUACCAGAACACGUCCGACGGUGAGGGAUGAAAGCUGGGGGAGCAAACCGGAUUAGAUACCCGGGUAGUCCCAGCUGUAAACUAUGCAAACUCAGUGAUGCAUUGGCUUGUGGCCAGUGCAGUGCCGCAGAGAAGUCGUUAAGUUUGCCGCCUGGGAAGUACGUACGCAAGUAUGAAACUUAAAGGAAUUGGCGGGGGAGCACCACAAGGGGUGAAGCCUGCGGUUCAAUUGGAGUCAACGCCAGAAAUCUUACCCGGAGAGACAGCAGAAUGAAGGUCAAGCUGAAGACUUUACCAGACAAGCUGAGAAGUGGUGCAUGGCCGUCGCCAGCUCGUGCCGUGAGGUGUCCUGUUAAGUCAGGUAACGAGCGAGAUCCCUGCCUCUAGUUGCCACCAUUGCUCUCAGGAGCAGUGGGGCGAAUUAGCGGGACUGCCGCAGUUAAUGCGGAGGAAGGAAGGGGCCACGGCAGGUCAGUAUGCCCCGAA
rnacentral:rRNA from 1 species